CCCCCCAAUCCCCCUCCGGUCCGACCUCUCUCGCAGCACACACAUUCAACCUAAACCUAAAUCGCCGCCGCCGCCCCCAACCUGCCCGCAGAUUUGCUUGCUUCGCCGCCUCUCCCACUCCGGCAUCCUAUCCCUUGGCCCGUCGUUUAGUCCUGCGUGCUGCCCUAUUAUACACUGCCGAGGAGUUGCUGCCCCAUCUGCAGCCGACGAGCCGCCGCCGCAUCUACAGACGAGGAGCCGCCGCCUAGGCGCAUAGUCCGCUGGCAGGCAACCGAGUUCUGGAGUCGCCCCGCCGUUCGUCUUCCUCCACCAGCGACCCCUGUCCAGAUCGACACCCCUUGUCCUGCCCGACUCCAGUCUCCAGGCCAUUGUAGGAGAAAAGAUGGAAGCAACAAGAGUUGGAAGUGAGCUCCCUGCGUAUGAACAAUUGAGGCUAGCAAGUAUUGCAGAAAACAAAAAUAAGUUGAGAGCUCCUGUUGGAAUAUAAAGAAAAUAUUUAGCAUUGGGAGAAAACAUGAGGCCCUCUGGGGAAGUAGGCGGCUUGUCUCAUCCAGCCAAGAAGAAAGUUAUUCGGAUUUCUCAUUGCUCCAUGUAGCUGGCAUCAAGAGUUACGCUCGUAGCAGGCAUGAAUUGAAACAACCUGAAGAAGCAGCUGAACUCCACCCAGAAUUGAAGGAAAAACCUACACAAGGAGAUUUUUCAUGCUCGUGCUUUUGGAGAGAAGGAACCAAGAGGAGGUGUGCGAAAGUUUGUACUCUACUAUAGAAGGAACCAAGCGAAGGAACACAAGAUGAUCAAGUUUGUACUCUACUAGAGCGCACGGAACAAAUGCAAUGAAAAAUUGGAGAGACGCAUCAAGUUCUUUUUUGUCUAGGAAUCCGAAAUGUGGAAACACCAUUGCCUAAUAGUUUAGUAUCUUGGCCCGUGGUACAAUGCUUAGUUAUCAUCUUUUUGAAGUCUUAUCUAAAACAUGUGGACACUAAUUUAGUUUUUUGUGCAUGGCCCUCCAUAGGUUUCACGGAUUGUAUAGCACAAGAUGGCAAAUGGAUCUUCUAAUUCAGACAACUUUUGUUAAGUUAUAUCAGGGACAAAUGAUAGAAAGUAGCAAGCCUGCUAGUUGAUUGAACAUGUCCUCGUGAUUGGUUUUGUUGAAAACAUGGAUGACACAUUUUGUUCAUAUGGAAGUUGACUUGGCUUGGCGAUUGAAGAGCUGAUCUUCAUAAUAUUCUGUAGUCAGUUCAGUGAUCAAGCACUUGGUCUCUUAGGAAUUUUAGCCAUUAUAUUUGUAACAUGCCUAUGUUGUAUAUCUGACUUGUGUAUAUCCUUCAUGGUUGUAGCCAUCUUUAGUGAAGAAAACUAAUGAAUCUUGUAUGUAUAUAUUGAAUGGAUGCAUUAAUCAAUGAUACCUUGUGAUGAAGAGAAGAGUGCAAUUGUUUGUAUAUGUAUUGCGUAUUGAACAUGAA